AUGCCUGGUUCACCAACUACUUCUCUGAUAGAGUUCAGUGUAUCAAAUCAGAUGGCCUGUUGUCCAGACCUCUGGCAGUCUCUAUGGGGGUGCCACAGGGUUCAAUUCUCGGGCCCGACUCUUUUCUCUGUAUGCAUCAAUGAUGUCGCUCUUGCUGCUGGUGAUUCUCUGAUCCACCUCUACGCAGACGACACCAAUAUGUAUACUUCUGGCCCUUCUUUGGACACUGUGUUAACAAACCUUCUGAUGAGCUUCAAUGCCAUACAACUCUCCUUCCGUGGCCUCCAACUGCUCUUAAAUGCAAGUAAAACUAAAUGCAUGCUGUUCAACCGAUCACUGCCUGCACCUCCCCGCCCGCCCAGCAUCAGCACUCUGCACGGUUCUGACUUAGAAUAUGUGGACAACUACAAAUACUUAGGUGUCUGGUUAGACUGUAAACUCUCCUUCCAGACUCACAUUAAGCGUCUCCAAUCCAAAAUUAAAUCUAGAAUCGGCUUCCUAUUUUGCAACAAAGCAUCCUUCACUCUUGUUGCCAAACAUACCCUUGUAAAACUGACUAUCCUAUCGAUCCUUGACUUCGGUGAUGUCAUUUACAAAAUAGCUUCCAACACUCUACUUAGCAAAUUGGAUGUAGUCUAUCACAGAGCCAUCCAUUUUGUCACCAAAGCCCCAUAUACUACCCACCACUGCGACCUGUAUGCUCUCGUUGGCUGGCCCUCGCUUCAUAUUCGUCACCAAGCCCACUGGCUCCAGGCCAUCUAUAAGUCUUUGCUAGGUAAAGCCCCGCCUUAUCUCAGCUCACUGGUCACCAUAGCAGCACCCACCCGUAGCACGUGCUCCAGCAGCUAUAUUUCACUGGUCAUCCCCAAAGCCAACUCCUCCUUUGGCCGCCUUUCCUUCCAGUUCUCUGCUGCCAACGACUGGAACGAAUUGCAAAAAUCACUGAAGCUGGAGACUCAUAUCUCCCUCACUAACUUUAAGCAUCAGCUGUCAGAGCAGCUUACUGAUCAUUGCACCUGUUAUAUAUAUAUAUAUAUAUAUUGUUUUGCUCCUUUGCACCUCAGUAUCUCUACUUGCACAUUCAACUUCUGCACAUCUAUCACUGCAGUGUUUAAUUAUUAA
rnacentral:lncRNA from 1 species